rnacentral:rRNA from 1 species
CCAGACUCCUACGGGAGGCAGCAGUGAGGAAUAUUGGUCAAUGGGCGCGAGCCUGAACCAGCCAAGUAGCGUGAAGGAUGACUGCCCUACGGGUUGUAAACUUCUUUUAUAAAGGAAUAAAGUGAGGCACGUGUGCCUUUUUGUAUGUACUUUAUGAAUAAGGAUCGGCUAACUCCGUGCCAGCAGCCGCGGUAAUACGGAGGAUCCGAGCGUUAUCCGGAUUUAUUGGGUUUAAAGGGAGCGUAGAUGGGUUGUUAAGUCAGUUGUGAAAGUUUGCGGCUCAACCGUAAAAUUGCAAUUGAUACUGGCAGCCUUGAGUACAGUUGAGGUAGGCGGAAUUCGUGGUGUAGCGGUGAAAUGCUUAGAUAUCACGAAGAACUCCGAUUGCGAAGGCAGCAUGCCGGCUCCACACUGACGCUGAGGCACGAAAGCGUGGGUAUCGAACAGGAUUAGAUACCCCAGUA